UAUUGUUUCAGACAGAGGACCUCAAUUCAUCUCCAGGGUCUGGCGUGGUUUCUUCCGUCUAUUAGGAGUAUCUGUCAGCCUUUCCUCAGGUUAUCACCCACAAACCAAUGGCCAGACCGAACGUAAAAUCCAAGAGAUCGGGCGCUACCUCCGCGCCUAUUGUCAUCGACACCAAGACAGCUGGAGCCAGUAUUUGCCCUGGGCCGAGUACGCGCAGAACUCACUGCGUCAAGAAACAACCAGGCUCUCUUUCUGUUGGACAUUAAUAAAAAAGGAGUGUUACUACUUACCCAGUGUUUGUCUCUCCGGUCAGACGUGACAGCUAAAUGUUGACUAAACUAAUAAAAACAAAUCCAGCCAACACUGAGAUCAUUCUGCACGUGCACGAGCCUGAGUGACUUCGCGGGAGAAACAGUGCUGCCAUCUUGUCAAGUUCACAAGUCAGGGUGUGGCCAACGGUUUCAUUGGUGCUUUGUCAUCACUGCAAGAUUUCAGAUGCAACCCAGUCAGUUCUUCCAAGGCACCAAACACCAGACCGCUCCACUGCAACUACAUACUGUGUGUAGCUUCAAGACUAGGAGUUUAUUGUUUUCAUUCCAGGUCACCAUAGCCACCCAGAUCCAGUCCGUAUCCAGAUCAGAUGGUGGAUCAGCACCUAGAGACGACCUCUACAGCACUGAAUGUCAGCGGAGACCAUGUCAGCUAGAUGAGCUCCAGAGACAGAUCCCCAGUGAAGACCUCGUUGGCCAUCGGGACAAGACCACGAGAACCAGACAAGUCCUCUGCUCAAUCUGACCUGUGCAGGAAUUAUACCAUGCCAUGCUGGUUUCAUCUGGCCAGAGGAGAACUGCCCCUCAACUGAGCCUGGUUUCUCCCAAGGUUUUCUACUCAGUUUCUGUCACCAAUGGAGUUUUGAGUCCUUGCCGCUAUCACCUUUGGCUUGCUUAUUUGGGGACGCUUGGCUGAUUGCAUAGACACUAUUGGAAGAGAGCUGAACUAAAUGAUGAUUUCAUUGAAUCAUCAAUGAACUGACUUUAACUGGAAAAAUGACUUGUUAUUGUCCUCUUGCAUUAUUAACAAACUAUUUUCCUGUUUGACUGUAAAGCUGCUUUGACACGAUCAGUAUUGUAUAAAGUGCAUUAUAAAUAAAAGUGACUUGACUUGAU